GAAUCGGUAGUGCAACGGUUCGGCACGCGCUCCCGGAAAGAGUGAGAUCUGGGUUCGAAUCCCAGCUGACGCA